rnacentral:lncRNA from 1 species
AAUGAUACUGCAAUAAUGAGUGGAUAAUUAAAAAUGACAUAAACUCAGUGCCAUAGUCUGUUAGUGUAAAAUACAUGUCUGACUAACACCCUAGAUUAGAUAAUGUCACUGAAGCCUACCUUUGAUAUAGUUGACUUAGUCACCUUUUAUUGGAAAGGGUGUAUGAGCCAGAGAUGUUCUGAGUUUGGUACAUAUUAAUGUAUUUGCACUCAUGAACAUAAAUGCCAG